AGCAGCCGCGGUAAUUCCAGCUCCAAUAGCGUAUAUUAAAGUUGUUGCAGUUAAAAAGCUCGUAGUUGAAUUUCGGGAUUGACGUGAUGGUCAUGCCUUAAGGGGUAUGAACUGUUACUGUUGAUUUCUCACCUUCUGGAGAAACUUGAUGUCCUUUAUUGGGUGUCUUGCGGAUCCAGGACCUUUACCUUGAAAAAAUUUAGAGUGUUUAAAGCAGGCAUUUUUGCUCGAAUACAUUAGCAUGGAAUAAUAGAAUAGGACGGCAUGGUUCUAUUUUGUUGGUUUCUAGGAUCACCGUAAUGAUUAAUAGGGAUAGUUGGGGGCAUUAGUAUUCAAUUGUCAGAGGUGAAAUUCUUGGAUUUAUUGAAGACUAACUACUGCGAAAGCAUUUUGCCAAGGAUGUUUUCAUUAAUCAAGAACGAAAGUUAGGGGAUCGAAGACGAUCAGAUACCGUCGUAGUCUUAACCAUAAACUAUGCCGACUAGGAAUCAGACGAUGUAAUUUUUUCAAUGACUCGUUU
rnacentral:misc_RNA from 1 species